GCUGGAGCACAAUGGCGCAAACACAGCUCACUGAAGCCUCUACCUCCCAGGCUCAGGCGAUCCUCCUACCUCAGCCUCCCAAGUAUCUGGGACCACAGGUGCAUGCCACUACACUUGGCUAAUUUUUUAAAUUAUUUGUAGAGACAGGGUCUCCCUAUGUUGCCCAGGCUAGUCUCAAACUUCUGGACUCAAGCAAUCCUCCCACCUCAGCCUCCCAAAGUGCUAAGAUUAGAGGCGUGAUGAGAUUAGAGCCACUGCACCCAGCCUUGGAUUCCUUUUUCUACAUUCCAUUUCAUCUUAUUUCACAUUUCUAACACAAAGUAUAAAACAAAAAAAAUGUAAUGGUUAGUAUUUCGAGGAAAAUUAAUCUAUACUUCACUGGCACCAUACCUUCCUAGGAGAAACACAAGCACCUUAAAUCCAGCAGUUUGGGAAAAGCACAGCAAAAUAUGUGGACCCAGUUAGAAUCCGAGAGGCAGACCAGCUGCUUGAGUACUCCCCUUCCACUGUCUGCAACCCUCUAAACUAAAGCUAAUAUCCUUGUGGAGCCUGUGCCAUCUGAUAAACACAAACCCCAGGUGUGAAUUCAACAAGUGCUCAGCAACCGGCCACCAUGGGCAUCAUCGCAUAAUGUCCCAGGUGGAUGACAGUGGAGAGGGUAAUGCAGUCACUGCUUCUUGGAGAUGGCAAUCAAGAAAGGCAGACCAACACACAUCACUUGCAGAAUGAACCAUAAUACAAAACCAUUUUUUGAGAAGUGACACAGACUAUACAAGACCCCAGUUCAGAUGAAGGAAAUGUCACUUUCUGAUGAAUAAAGAGUGAGUGGCAGAGAAUGGUAGGACUAUUUUGGGGGACAAGGAAAGAAAAUGUUUUAGUAGUUUAGGGUUCAAAACCUGCAAUACUUACUAGGGGCGUACCCUUGUAACAUCUUGUAGCCUCAAUUUCCUCCUCUGCAGAAAUAAGUGAAUUAAGAAUCAGUAUUAAAAUACACUGGCUUGUUUUUCAGGUAGAGCACAGCGAGUAGACUGGAGAAAGCUGUGACCAAGAUGAACUGCAGAAAAGGAAGUUUUUUCUAGUAACAACACCCGUCCCUAAAUAAGCAACCUCUUCAGUCUAGUCUAGUAACACAACUCUGAUCAUCUAAGAGAUGUGUUCAAUUUCCCUAAGUCUUCUUGAAAUCUAAAAUAAUUUUUAAAAAAUGAGGAAGAAGAAAAAAAUCUGAUUUUUCCCAAAGAUUGAAAUCAAACACCCUUUAAGUAUAUAACUAUUGCUAGUACAAAUAUCACAGUAAAUACAUUUUUAAAAAGUACCAUGGGUAAAAUUUCAAAUAAGGUAUAAGAAUAUUUGAUCAAUAUUUUCAUAACAUACUAUGACGUAAGCCUUCAAAAUGGCAACAGAUGCCCACCUUGAGUUCAGUUCCAGAAAAUAUUUUGUCAAUCAUCUGCUGAUAGCCAUGGAAUGA
rnacentral:lncRNA from 1 species